rnacentral:misc_RNA from 2 species
UCAACCCUCAAGCCUGGCUUGCUGUUGGACCUCUCGUCGUUAAAGACGGGUUCUAAAGUUAAUGGCGGAGUUGUCGGACCCUAGAUGCAACGAGCUCUCGUAGCACGCAUUCAAGGAGCUGGCGGCUCUAGUCUCAACCCAUAUUAUUUACAA